rnacentral:tRNA from 1 species
GUAAGUGUAGCAUAGCGGCUAAUGCCCUCGGUUGUGAUCCGAGAAGACGUGGGUUCGAAUCCCAUCAUUUACCCCA